rnacentral:lncRNA from 1 species
CACAGGUGAGGCACCUAGGGCAGGCCUGCUUCGUCAGUCCUCCCCAGCUCUCCUAUCCAGGUGGCUACUCCUCCAGACCCCACCUGCCCCAACAGCUGGAGGGCGAAGCUGCUGCAGGCAUGGGAGGCAGAGGAAUGGUGGAGGAGCUGGGGUGCUGGGCGUGCAGUAGUGCUUGACUGGAAACCGGACGAAGCUGCAGAUGGGAGAGGCACUGCUUGAACACUCCUGCCGCAUCCAUCACUCCGGGCACCUCCUGCAGUGCACACGGUCUCACUUUGAUUUUAAUCCCACCAAUAGCAGGAAGGAGGUAUGAGCCUCAUCUGCAGCUCAGGAUGAUUAGGGGACAAGUCUGGGGUCAUGUGCUGGUGUAAUUUUACAAAGAUAAGAGAAGGUGUGGAAUAUGAGAUCCUGCCAGGAUGGGAAGCCCCAAACAUCUUGGGGAAUAGGAGUGAAGGUGAUGUGAAGAUUAGAAAGAGCACCAGCUUUGCAGCCAGUCGACCUUGCCUUGGAGUCCUAGUUCUACAUCUUAUUAUAAGCAAGUUAACUU